CACAUAGCCAAUGUGAACGUGUCCUAAACCUCUGCUGAACUCUGACGCUAAGCAGGGCCUGGUUAGUACUUGGAUGGGAGACCGCUGGGAACACCAAGCUGUCAUUGUGU
rnacentral:rRNA from 1 species